rnacentral:rRNA from 1 species
GAUGAACGCUGGCGGCGUGCCUAAUACAUGCAAGUCGAACGCUGAAGGAGGAGCUUGCUCUUCUGGAUGAGUUGCGAACGGGUGAGUAACGCGUAGGUAACCUGCCUGGUAGCGGGGGAUAACUAUUGGAAACGAUAGCUAAUACCGCAUGACAACAGUUAUUGCAUGAUAACUGUUUAAAAGGGGCAACUGCUCCACUACCAGAUGGACCUGCGUUGUAUUAGCUAGUUGGUGAGGUAACGGCUUACCAAGGCGACGAUACAUAGCCGACCUGAGAGGGUGAUCGGCCACACUGGGACGGAGACACGGCCCAGACGCCUACGGGAGGGAGCAGGAGGGAAUCUUCGGCAAUGGACGGAAGUCUGACCGAGCAACGCCGCGUGAGGGAAGAAGGUUUUCGGAUCGUAAAGCUCGGUUGUAAGAGAAGAACGAGUGUGAGAGUGGAAAGUUCACACUGUGACGGUAUCUGACCAGAAAGGGACGGCUAACUACGUG